rnacentral:rRNA from 1 species
UACGAAGGGGGCUAGCGUUGCUCGGAAUCACUGGGCGUAAAGCGCACGUAGGCGGCUCUUUAAGUCAGGGGUGAAAUCCUGGAGCUCAACUCCAGAACUGCCUUUGAUACUGGGGAUCUCGAGUCCGGAAGAGGUGAGUGGAACUCCGAGUGUAGAGGUGAAAUUCGUAGAUAUUCGGAAGAACACCAGUGGCGAAGGCGGCUCACUGGUCCGGUACUGACGCUGAAGUGCGAAAGCGUGGGGAGCAAACAGG